YUACGUGCCAGCAGCCGCGGUAAUACGUAUGUCACGAGCGUUAUCCGGAUUUAUUGGGCGUAAAGCGCGUCUAGGUGGUUAUAUAAGUYUGAUGUGAAAAUGCAGGGCUCAACUCUGUAUUGCGUUGGAAACUGUAUAACUAGAGUACUGGGGAGGUAAGCGGAACUACAAGUGUAGAGGUGAAAUUCGUAGAUAUUUGUAGGAAUGCCGAUGGGGAAGCCAGCUUACUGGACAGAUACUGACGCUGAAGCGCGAAAGCGUGGGUAGCAAACAGGAUUAGAUACCCUGGUAGUCCACGCUGUAAACGAUGAUUACUAGGUGUUGGGGGUCGAACCUCAGCGCCCAAGCAAACGCGAUAAGUAAUCCGCCUGGGGAGUACGUACGCAAGUAUGAAACUCAAAGGAAUAGACGGGGACCCGCACAAGCGGUGGAGCAUGUGGUUUAAUUCGAAGAUACGCGAAGAACCUUACCCGGACUUGAUAUC
rnacentral:rRNA from 1 species